GAUACAAUUGCUUUGUUCUAAGAUAAGGUUGUGGUAUUCAAACUCAAUGUUGUUUUGAUACUUGUUUGUUUAGGAUUAUUUGUUGUAGUGACAGUGCACUUCAAUUGUUCUAACUCAAGGUUGUUUCUGCAUUCUGUUUACUGAAACAAAAGGUUGUUUUGAUGUUUGUUACUAUUAUAAGGAAUACAUUCCUUAACUCGCGUGUCUUAUAAAAAUUGUGACAAGUUUGAAAAAUGGAUAUAUUCAGUUUGGAUGAAAACAGUAACCCUCCUUGCACAUUAGAUGCAAUUGAAACGCUGCCCAUUUUUAAAUCAUGGGAGUUAAAUGAUGAUAUUUGCUCCAUUCUUAUGGACUACGGAGUGACAUCAACGAUAAUUUUAACAAAAAUGGAUUGGGAAGAUAUCGACUGUUUAUUUGAAAAGCUUCCAACAAAAUUUUUUGGCGAAUGCAUCAAGUUUAAAGCGGGAUUAAGAGAAUGGGGGAAGAACAUGAAUAUACCGCUUAUACGUGAUGCAAGCACCUUAUCUGCGAGUAGUCGAAUUUUGGAGUGGUUAGAGAAAAUUUCUGACGACUUAAAUGCAGCUAAAAGUUCAAGAGAUUCUUCACCAGUACUCCAGCCAACGUAUGAUAACUGCAUGGACAGUCGCAGCUUAACCGACCUUUUAAAAGGUACGGUUAAAGGGCAGCUUGUGCUUCACUUUCAGCAGAAAAAUGGUUUCUUGCCAAGCAGCAGAAUACAUUGUGUCACUGCGUAAUAGAGAAUUAUAUAGGAAGGCGACAUAUGGAGAAAUGCAAAAGUGGGCCAACAUCAUCUGCGAUGUAUUCCCCAAAGAGAAUCCGGAAACAUAUUUUCUAGCAAGAAAAUAUGGUAAGAAAAAUCCUACGGGAAAGCUAUUUUCACGCUGGACGAAUGCUGACAAAACCAAUUAUAAAAAGUUUUCAACCGAUCGUACAACUACCGCUUCGCCAGCAGCUUUAUCCAGCGGUAUAAACAAAUAGAUUGUUUACUCUCACAAGAUAUACUUAUUUCUGAAUAUUUAUAUAAGUAUUACGAAAAGAAAUGCUGGCUGCAGAAUAAUUGCACACCAUGGGAACAGGUUAUUGAUUACUGGAAGGAGACAUCUGGUCAAAGAAUUAUAGAUAUCUAUAACGCCAGUUCUUUAAGCUGCAUUUUUAGUGAAUGGCCGCGCUAUAAGGACUUUCGUGGAUAUGAACUUAAAUAGGCUUUGAGACUCUUUACCCCGGGAAAGGAAAUAUGUUAUUUUUGAAAUUGGAGAAGUUUUAUAAAGAAAUCCUCAAAAUUUUUGAUAGAGAUAUAAAAGACCGUGUUUCAAGGGAACUAUUCUUAAAGUAUUUGCACAUUGACAACAUCUCAAAUGAAUGUAAAUAUUGUAUAAGUACAAUUCUUCUACAUGCUUUGCUACAGCCUUUGAGGCUUAAUAAGGACAAAAAACCAACAAUAGCUGAUGCCCAAGCAGAUUUCGUAACACUCGUUGCAACACGUAAUGAUAUUCAACCCACAAUAAUUGAAUUGAAGAACCAGUUUGCGGUAAGAAAGGGGAAACUACAGCCGAGAAUUAUCGUCGUUGGAUCAGAUUGGUCAUCCAUUUCAGAGUUUUAUGUUUUUUGCGAUGGUCUGCAAUGGAAAUGUACUACGUAUAUGAAGUGCGUUGACUGCAUUAUUAAACUAUCGUACGUUUAUAAGAUAGAGUAUUCACAAAGAAGCAAGCAAGUAUGGGCAUUUUUAGAACAAUAUUUUUAUUGGGCUAUAAUGCCCAAUUUUGCUUGUUUCAUUUGUCAAAAAGCUCACUUAAAUUCUAUAGAGCUGAUUAAACAUCUAAAGUCAGCUCAUGGUACUCCACCAGUUUGUAAAUUUCAAUGUAACGAAUAUAAUUGCAAACAAAUUUUUUCUAACAUUCACAGAUUUCAAAUUCACCUCAAAAAACAUUUGAAAAUAGAAAUAGCCAAUCUUGUAAAGAAAAUUCUCUUGCUCUUAAUAUUCCAAUUCAAACAACUAAUUCAUCAAAUCAACUAGUACCAAUUCAAAAUAUUACUUCUUUAAAAGAUUCAAUGAUCGCGUUUCUACUUCAGCUGCAUUCCAAUACGAAUUUUUCUCGGAAAGACGUAUUCGAAAAUCAAAAUUCCGUAACAGAGUUAAUUUCAACCCCAAUAUGAAAUAUUAAGAGCCAUUAGUAAUUUUCAUGAAAAUAAUUCUAUACUUGAGGAAGUAAUUAAAAUUAUAUCUCAGCCAUUUUAUGAUUUAACCACCGAAUACAAAUUUUUCAAAGAAAUAGAAAAACUAGACCUGUAUAAACAUCCGCAAAAAUAUAUUGUUAGCGACGAACUCUCAGAAGUCAUAUUUAAUAACAAUCCAACUUUAACCUCAGCUAGAACCGAAAUAACCCUAUCAGACAUUCCUUUUCAAAUUAAAAAACUUUUUGAGAGUAAAGGGAUCUUAGAGGAAACGCUUUUAAAUAUGAAAAACUUUUCAGAAAACCUUCCUUAUACUCAUUUCAUCAAUAGCAGCUUUUGGCAAAAUUCAAAGAAAAAUAAUGUAACGAUUCCAUUUUUUUUGUAUAUGGAUGACUUCGAAAUUAAUGAUCCUUUGGGCAGUAAAUCUGGCCAACAAAAAAUUUGCGGUAUAUAUUAUAACUUUCCAAGCGUACCUCAGUACCAACUUAGCAAAUUAUCAAAUAUAUUUGUAGCAGGGUUUGUUAAAGUUCGAGAUCUACAAGAUUGUGGAUUUACUGUUUGCCUUACACCACUUCUGAAUAUUUUAAAAACAUUGGAAAUUAAUGGCCUUCAAAU
rnacentral:misc_RNA from 1 species